GUGUGGAGCUGGAGCUGCUGAUACAGAAGUCGUGACAGGCUAAGGUGGAAGUUGAAAGAUUGAAGCAUUCAUGCCAGUCAUUCGACAAGACACGUCUUUGAGAAGGGCCCAGUUGCAUGUUACAAGAGGUGUUGUGAGGAAGGUCGGACGUUAGAUGGUGAAGUUGCUGUUGCAGGUGAGCUGUAGAAGCAAAGCUCGUGUUCCUUUUAGAUGGUAUGUUGGUAUGAAUGCAGAUGGAAUUCGAGAAGGGUGAUGUGAUACUUCUACCUGCAAAUGAAUGCAGUUGGAAUUUCUAGGAGGGUGGUAUUGCAGUUCUUUCAGCCCCCAGACCUGGAACAUGUUCGAUUUUAUGUCUCAGUUUGUCAUUUACAAAUUACAAUUUAUGAUGGAAGUUGGUA
rnacentral:lncRNA from 1 species